GACAGAGGAUGCAAGCGUUAUCCGGAAUGAUUGGGCGUAAAGCGUCUGUAGGUGGCUUUUCAAGUCCGCCGUCAAAUCCCAGGGCUCAACCCUGGACAGGCGGUGGAAACUACCAAGCUGGAGUACGGUAGGGGCAGAGGGAAUUUCCGGUGGAGCGGUGAAAGUGCAUUGAGAUCGGAAGAACACCACGGCGAAAGCACUCUG
rnacentral:rRNA from 1 species